AAGCUAAGAAAUCUCAAGAGAGAACUUCUAACUCACUCUUAAGCGGCAGCCCCCCGUUUUUAGCUUU
rnacentral:tRNA from 1 species